rnacentral:rRNA from 1 species
AAUAGAUACCCAGGUAGUCCACCCCGUAAACGUUGGGAACUAGUUGUGGGGUCCAUUCCACGGAUUCCGUGACGCAGCUAACGCAUUAAGUUCCCCGCCUGGGGAGUACGGCCGCAAGGCUAAAACUCAAAGGAAUUGACGGGGACCCGCACAAGCGGCGGAGCAUGCGGAUUAAUUCGAUGCAACGCGAAGAACCUUACCAAGGCUUGACAUACACGAGAACACCCUGGAAACAGGGGACUCUUUGGACACUCGUGAACAGGUGGUGCAUGGUUGUCGUCAGCUCGUGUCGUGAGAUGUUGGGUUAAGUCCCGCAACGAGCGCAACCCUCGUUCUAUGUUGCCAGCACGUAAUGGUGGGAACUCAUGGGAUACUGCCGGGGUCAACUCGGGGGAAGGUGGGGAUGACGUCAAAUCAUCAUGCCCCUUAUGUCUUGGGCUUCACGCAUGCUACAAUGGCCGGUACAAAGGGCUGCAAUACCGUGAGGUGGAGCGAAUCCCAAAAAGCCGGUCCCAGUUCGGAUUGAGGUCUGCAACUCGACCUCA